GGGCACAUGGUGUAGUUGGUUAUCACAUCCGCUUAGCAUUGACGGAGAGGCAGCUAAGUCUGCGGGGGGUGCUGGGUUCAAUUCCCAGUGUGUCCA